AUCCAGCUGACCAGUCCCACAAGGACGAAACGUGCGUUCUAGAU
rnacentral:hammerhead_ribozyme from 1 species